UUGAGCCGUGUGCGGCGUGAGUCGCACGCACGGUUCUGAGGGGGCCG
rnacentral:ribozyme from 1 species